rnacentral:lncRNA from 1 species
AAUGAUAAAAGAGGCAAAAGUCCUUCAACAUUUGAAAACACUCUAUUUAUAGCCUAAUUACAUGCAAAAAUGCAUGCAAUUCAAUUGCCAAAUCUCAACACCUAAUAUUCCACUAACAAUUAGUGGAACUUAGUGGGCUAGGUGUCUAUAUCUCAUAUAGCCACAUAUCCCACUAAGAGUUAGUGGGAUUAUCCAACAAAAUGUUGGAUUUUCCCACUAACUUAGUCCAAGGGUAAAAUGGUCAUUAGAUUUUUCUAGUCAAAAGUCAAAUUGACUUUUCUGUCAAAAGUCAAAUUGACUUUUCUAAGUCAAAAGUCAAUAUUUUGACUUUUUACCAUUUUGUCCGUCUUGACUAAUUCCAACCUCCCGAGCAUGAAUCCGCAUUCAUUUUUCCAAAAUUCAAAUCACAUUUGAAUAUAAGGCCGGUCAAAGUUUGACUUUUCAAAGUCAAAAGUCAACAUUUUGACUUUUUACUAUUUUUGACCAAUUCCGAGCUUCUUAGUAUGAAUCCGCAUUCAUACUUAUAGUAUGUAAACAUAAAGCUCUAUUUCUAAUUAGAAGACCGACGACUAUAUCACUGUAUUGUCGGUUUCCUUUCUUCUCCCAAUUCGAACAAUUCGACUUAUUUCAUCACACUGUUCUAAGUUUAAUCCAUAUGAGCUAGCAGAGGAACCUAAUGGACCUAUAGAUCAUGGGCUCCAACGAUUCAAGAUUAACUAGCUAAACUCUUUUAAACCGAGUUAAUCAACAUUCGUUAACUAACGGGUCAUUCCACUAAAGUCCCGUAGUUGCACUCCCCUCACUAUAGAUAUAUUUGUGUCCAUUUGAUAAAACCAUAAUCAGUAAGUUAAUCCUUCACAGGUUGCUCGUAACCUUGGCUGGGUCAAAAUACCGUUUUACCCCCAAGAUUACAUCUUGCUCCUUAAGUCCCACUAAUCCACUAUUGAACAAUUGGUUUAAGGUUCAACCUAUAAACUUAAUCCCUCUCGGGCCAAUGAGAGGGUGGGGCCCCUUGUUCAAGACUUGGAUUCAGUGCUUAAGAGAGCAACCUAUCUACUAACCCUAAAGCGGUAGGAGUGAAUUCCAUCUUGUACCCUAUGUUCCCAGCUAUCCACCCGAUCUUACCCCUGAAAUGGGAGGCUUAUUGGGCCAACGCUGAUGAGCUGCCCUCACCUAUGCAGAUCUAAGGAUAAUCUCGUGUGAACAGGAGUUCAUAGUUAACUCAGGAUUAAGACUAAGUUACCUAGGUCAUCAAUAAUUGAGAUAGUCAGUUUUAAACAGUAAACGGUGUUAUAACGUAAAAAUGACUAUUCAUGGUUCAGUCUUAUGUAAACAUUUUACAUAGGAUGCCCCCACUUUCAUGUCUCUACAUGAACGAUUAGGAUCACCUCGUUUGUACUACAAAGUGGGCCGCAUCCAUAGUUUCUCUAAAUAAGGCGCCCAACCUUUAUUUCAUAUACUAUAGACUAUUUAGGCUAUAUACUCGAACUUGAUCCACGUUUAUGUUUACACAUAAAGUUCAAGUUUAUUAAAAAAUAGCCUUGGAACUUGAUUUAUUGGAUUUAAGAUUAUAAUAUUUAAUUUCUCAAUAACAACUUUAUUGAACAGAAUAUGAUUUACAAACUACGAGUUUUAGGACAAAAAUUCCAACAAACUCCCACUUGGACUAAAAUUCCUAGUGGUAUGAGAGAUGUGGUGUGAGAGAAUAUAAAACUAGGGCACAUGGCCAAUAAGUCUCCCACUUGUCCUAGUUUACAAACAUCGUAGACCUAAACUGUGUAGGUGACCCUCAAACACUUUAGCCGUGAGAGCUUUUGUAAAAGGAUCAGCAAUGUUUUGCUGAGAAGAAAUCUGGGUUACUACAACGUCACCACGAUGUACAAUUUCCCUGAUAAGAUGGUACUUGCGUUCAAUAUGCUUUCCUCUUUUAUGGCUUCUAGGUUCUCUUGAAUUUGCAACUGCACCACUGUUGUCACAGUAUAAAGUGAUUGGUAGAUGCAUAUUUGGAACGACUUCCAAAUCUGUCAAGAAUUUUCUUAGCCAUACUGCUUCUUUUGCUGCUUCACAAGCCGCUACGUAUUCAGCUUCCAUUGUGGAAUCAGCUAUACAAGUUUGCUUUAUGCUUCUCCAAACUACUGCUCCUCCAUUUAGAGUAAAUACUGAUCCUGAUGUAGACUUUCUAGCAUCUUUAUCAGUUUGGAAAUCUGAAUCAGUGUAUCCAGUAAGGAUCAGAUCCUUUGUACCAUACAUGAGCAUGUAGUCUUUUGUUCUUCGAAGAUAUUUUAGAAUGUUUUUAACGGCUGUCCAGUGAUCACGUCCAGGAUUGGAUUGAUACCUACUGACCAUCCCUACUGAGUAGCAAAUGUCAGGUCUAGUACAUAACAUUGCAUACAUUAAACUUCCAACAGCGGAAGCAUAGGGAAUAUUUCUCAUAUCCUCAACUUCUUGAGGUGUCUUAGGACAUUGUUCCUUUGACAAAUGAAUUCCAUAUCUGUACGGCAGCAGACCCUUUUUGGAAUUCUGCAUUUUAUAUCUAGACAACAUUUUGUCUAUGUAAGAUGCUUGAGACAUGGCUAGUGUUUUGUUCUUACGGUUUCGAACAAUUUGGAUUCCGAGAACGUAUUGUGCAUCUCCCAGAUCUUUCAUUUGAAAUUGCAUAGCUAGCCAUUUCUUGAUAUCAGUAAGAUAUCCUACGUCAUUUCCAAUAAGUAGAAUAUCAUCUACAUAUAAGACUAAAAAUGCUAUAAUGGAAUUGACGACCUUUUUGUAAACACAAGGCUCGUCAACAUUUUGUUCAAAGCCAUAAGAUUUGAUCGCAGUAUCAAAUCUUAUAUUCCAGGAUCUAGAAGCUUGUUUUAAUCCAUAAAUGGAUUUUUUAAGCUUACAAACCUUUUGUUCUUGAUCUUGUUCUAUAAACCCCUCUGGUUGAGACAUAUAGAUACUCUCUUCAAGAUUACCAUUCAAAAAAGCUGUCUUGACAUCCAUCUGCCAAAUUUCAUAAUCAUAAAAAGUGGCGAUGGAUAAGAGUAUUCUAAUUGACUUUAACAUGGCAACAGGAGAGAAAGUUUCCUCAUAGUCUACUCCCUCUCUCUGGGUAUAACCCUUUGCCACAAGUCGAGCCUUGAAAGUCUGUACUUUACCGGCAUGGUCUCGUUUUCUCUUGUAGAUCCAUUUACAACCAAUAGGUUUUACGUCAUUUGGUUGAUCUACUAGAGUCCAGACAGAAUUAAAGUACAUAGACUCCAUUUCGAGGUCCAUGGCUUUGAUCCAUUGGUCACGAUCUACAUCUUUCAUUGCCUGUUUAUAGGUUAAUGGAUCCUCUAUGCCAUCGUCAGGUAUGACGACUUGAGUUUCAAUUAAACCCAAAUAGCGAUCAGGCUGAUGAACAACCCUCCCACUACGUCGAGGCUCUCUCAACUGUUGAGAAGGAUGUGAUUGUCCAGAUUUCCUAGUCUUAUCAACUACCUUAGUGGAUGAACUAGGUUUAUCUAUAGCACUUUUGGAAAUUUCUUUUAAUACUAGUUUACUACGAGGUUGAUGAUCCCUGAUGUGGUCUUCCUCUAAGAAUGUGGCAUUUGUUGACACAAAUAUUUUAUUUUCUUGAGGAUCAUAAAACAAACCACCUCUUGAUUCUUUUGGAUAACCUAUAAAAAAGCAUAAUUUUGAACGAUGUUCCAAUUUCUUUGGAUUUUGUACCAACACGUGUGCUGGACAACCCCAAAUUCUAAAAUGACGUAAACUGCCUUUACGCCCUUUCCAUAGCUCAUAAGGUGUUUCUGAAACACUUUUAGAGGGAACAUUAUUCAAAAUAUAAGCAGCUGUUUCUAAAGCAUAUCCCCAAAAAGAAUCUGACAUCUGAGAAAAACUCAUCAUAGAGCGAACCAUGUCUAACAAGGUCCGGUUUCUUCUUUCUGAUACACCGUUCUGUUGAGGUGUACUAGGUGCAGAGAGUUGUGACUGGAUUCCAUUUUCUAUUAAAUAGUCUCGGAAUCGUAAGUCCAUAUACUCUCCACCUCGAUCUGAUCGAAGUAUUUUUAUUGUUUUACCUAAUUCGUUUUCUACUUCAGCCUUAUAUUCUUUGAACUUUUCAAGACUAUUAGACUUAUGAUGUAUUAGGUAAAUAUGACCAUACCUUGAAUAAUCAUCAAUGAAGCUAAUGAAAUAUUCAUAUCCACCUCGAGCUUUGACAUUCAUUGGUCCACAAAGGUCCGAAUGUACGAGCUCUAAGGGUCCUUUGGCUCUUAGACCUUUUCCAGUAAAAGAUCUCUUGGUCAUUUUUCCUUCAAGACAAGAUUCACAAGGAGGUAAAGAGUUAUCUUCUAACGGACUUAGAAGCCCACUUUUAACCAAUCUCCCAAUCCUAUUGAGAUUUAUGUGACCAAGUCUUAAGUGCCAUAAAUAGGCAUUAGAAGAAACUUUUUGUCUUUUAUUCUGAGUUUCAGCUGUUCUGAAUAUUUCAGUAUUUAAGACAAAAUUUGCUCUAGUUGGUCUUAACUUAUAUAAGUUGUCUUCAAGUAUAGCAGAACAAACUAGAAUACCUUUAUAGAAAACGAACGCUUCAUUAAUUUUCAAAAGAUAUUCUAUACAUUUGUUCCAAAAUACAAGAGAUAGAUAUUAAAUUUCUUUUCAUUUGAGGUACAUAUAAGACAUUCUUAAGUAUGACAUAUCUAUCUCUAAAAAACAACUUUAAAUCUCCCACUGCUGAAGCUGAGACCAUCUCUCCUGUUCCAACCUUGAGAGUGAUCUCGCCUUCUGAAAGCUUUUUCCAAGAACUAUUUUCCUGAAAUGAGAAGCAAAUAUGGUUAGUGGCUCCUGAAUCUAGUAUCCAGGUACAAUUUUCAUAUUCCACUAAACAUGUUUCUACAACUAGUAAAUCAUAUUUACCUUGUGUUUCCUUCUCUGCCUUUUUUUCUGCAAGGUAUUUUGGGCAGUUUCUUAACCAGUGCCCGUUUUGGCCACAAUGGUAACACUUACCUUUUUCUGCACCUUUCUUACCCUUGUUCUGUUUGGGAGUCUUUCCCUUUCCCUUCUUUUUUAUUUGAGCAUUAGGUUUUGAGGGUCCAGCUUUGGUUUUAGAGGACGAUCCUCUUAUAAAUUUUCUUUUUGUGGUAGCAACAUUUGCUUCCACUUGUUUUCCUUUACCCAUAGUAAGGUUUUGGAAUCGCUGGAGUUCAUUCAGAAGGGUUGUCAAGUUAAAUUCUAUCUUGUUCAAAGACGCAUUCGUUUGGAAUGGAAUGAAGCUCUUCGGAAGAGACUCUAAGAUAAAACUAACUUGAUUAACCUCUUCGAUGGGACCACCAUUCACUUCAGCGAUGUUGAAGUGCAUCAUCAUGUCCAGAACAUGUUCUCUAACAGAGGUCCCUUCCUUCAUACGCUUAGUGUAAAUGUAUUUGACUGCCUCGUGUCUUAAGGACCAUUCUGGUUGCCCAAACAUUCCCCUUAAUGAAUCCAUAAUCUCUUUAGCCGUGGCUAAGGAUUCAUGUUUCUUUGCCAAUACAUCAGACAUGCUGGCAAGAAUGUAGACACGGGCUUUUUCAUUAGCUUUUAUCCAUCGAUCAUAUGCAUCCCGACUAGUUCGGUUAGCAUUAGAGGCAGGGUUUUGAGGACAUUCCUCAGUUAAGACAAAUCUUAAAUCGUCAACCACUAGUAUUGUGUUAAGAUUUGAUUUCCAAGCCGCAUAAUUAUCGCCAUUAAGUUUUUCGGAAGCUAAAAGUUGAACUAUUGAGCUAUUCAUGCUGAAAAACAAACAUAUUCUUUUUAGGAAAAAACUAUAAUCAUAAAAAAUAUCCAAUCUAAUUUAGCAAUUACUAAUAAUGUACCCUUUCAUUAUUUGUAUUUUGCAACAAUAUUUCAAAGGUUUAGAACAACCUUCUCCGAAGGGUAGUUGAUUAUUCCUCCUUUGAACCAAGACAAUCUUGACUAGAUGCUAUCUCUAGAAUAACUGCUUAUUCUUUAUAGCACUUAGUUAUCGCUACUUUAGUCAAGAAUAUACUAACAACUUAGUAAUUCUUGUAAGUGUUACCCACCAUUUUCAGAUUUCAUAGAUUAGAAUCAUUUAUGAAAACUAAUCUAAGAAAACCUAUCCAGAUUUGGAGUUCGCGGUGUUCCGAAUCCUAUAAUACAACCCUCCGAAGGGAACGUCGCUCCAGGGCAGACAAGCAGGCAUAUUAUAGAAAUCUCACGGUGCGACCUAAUGGAAGAGACCGUGGGAUGUGCUGCCACAAAUCCCUCACCCACUUACUAUGAACUACUUCCCCUAUUCACCUUGAUUUUGAUCCAUGCAAACACUCUCCGAAGGGAGGCCGCUCCUAUGCACGGCACAAAGCCCUACAUGGACCUCACGGUGUGAACUCUUAGGGACACUAGAGCUAAAAUACAUUAUUUUUCUCUAGUUGAAGUGUUCUAAAGAAAAAAAAUAGGGUAAUCCAAGCUUCAAGAUUUAUAUUUAGGUUAACUUAAACAAAUCUUAAGUCUAGAUAAACAUCCAAGUAUAACCAUUAUACAGGAUUUUAACUAUGAUGUCUAGGUGAUAAACCAUUUUUAUUACCUCACACCUCUCACGAAAGCUCAUAAAACUAGGUUAACUAGGCUCAAGAACUGAUUACGAUCUCUAGGUAGGAGGUGCUCCGUAAACCGUCAACUUAAGAACCUCCAGCCUUAGUUAUCUUAUCUGACUUGUUGACAAGAUUGAAUCAGGUGAGCCUUUUAUAACCAAUUUUACAAGAUAUCGACCUAUUUCUAUGAAAAAUGGAAGAUAUGUUUAACCUAAGCGAGCAUGCAUUUAAUCUUUGUUAUUGAUUUUAAAAGUCUAAUUUAUUUUAUAACACUUAUAAAACUUUUAGACUUAAUCAAUCAUUUUAUCAAUAUAUAACCUUAUAAAAACAAUCAAUUAAUAUGGAUUUUAAUUAUUUACUUUAAAUUAAAUCAUAUUUAAUUAAAUAAAUCAAAACAAUAAUUAAUAAUUUGAUUAAUCAUAUUUAAUCAAGAAUAACUUAAUUAAUUAAUCAUAUUAAUUAAUUUCCAUAUUAAUCAAUUAACACGCAUACAAUACAAUAUAACCUUUAUAUCAUACAUUUUAAUGUAUGAACAUGUUAACCUAUGGUGGGAUUUUAAAUCUAAUAUGACAUUCAAAAUGCACAUACAAAUUUAAAGUAAUUUAAUCAUACAUCACAUGCAUAAAUAAAAACACCCUAAAAUGGACUGAUUUUGGCUCCUAAAUUAAGCUAAGUACUAAAUUAUUACAUAAUUAAUUUGGUGUAGUACGGAACCACUCCCAAAAACUUCGAACCGGCUGAAAAACCAACCGAAACCGCUUGAACCGACCCAAAAACCAAAUUUAUUGGCUUGAACCGGCCGAAUUAACUAAACAGGCCCAAGCGCACACGGGUCGGGCGCAGGCGGGUCGCGAAGCGGGUCAAGGCCGGGUUUUCGGGUCUGUGACCUUCUUUUCUUCAUUUUUUUCAAUUCUCUCACCCGGUUGAACCAAUUACAGCCUAACUUCAACUCUAAUGACUUUUUUUUAUUUUAAAAAAAUACAAACACUUUGCAACAAUAAAAAUAAGCCAUUAACAAGGCUAAAUACAAUAAUUAGAACAAAAACACUUAAUCUAGAGCCAAAAUCAUAAUAUAUCCAUUUUAGUUCAAACCAAAAUUUAUCUAAUAAAUAUGAACCCACCACAUGCAAUUGGGUAAAAAUGAAGCAUGCUCUGAUACCACAUGAUAGAACUCAGUCAUGCACAGCGGAAAAAGAAUCGAAUUUCUACCCUAAUUGCCACAAUUAACAUGUAACCAUAAAACUAAUCAAAUUAGGGUUUUAAGAAAUAUUACCUUUGAAGCUUUCAAAAGGUUUGAUAUCUUCUUACCAAUUCUAACCGAGACCACCACUAGUACUUCAACUGCUGUCCUCUAGACAAAGAACCGGGUUGUGGGACCCAAUUUUGGUGUAGAAAGUAAUGGAGAUAAAAUGGGAUUGGAAGGUUUCUUUUUUUUUUCCUUUUGUUGAGAUGAUGAAAAUGAUAAAAGAGGCAAAAGUUCUUUAACAUUUGAAAACACCUCUAUUUAUAACUUAAUUACAUGCAAAAAUGCAUGCAAUUCAUUUGCCAAAUCUCAACACCUAAUGUUCCAUUAACAAUUAGUGGAACUAAGAGUUAGUGGGAUUAUCCAACAAAAUGUUGGAUUUUCCCACUAACUUAGUCCAAGGGUAAAAUGGUCAUUAGAUAUUUCUAGUCAAAAGUCAAACUUUGACUUUUCUUAGUCAAAAGUCAAAAGUCAACAUUUUGACUUUUUACUAUUUUUGACCAAUUCCAUCAAUUCCGAGUUUCUUAGUAUGAAUCCGCAUUCAUACUUAUAGUAUGUAAAACAUAAAGCUCUAUUUCUAAUUAGAAGAUCGACGACUAUAUCACUAUAUUUGUCGGUUUCCCUUUCUUCUUCCAAUUCGAACAAUUCGACUUAUUUCAUCACACUGUUCUAAGUUUAAUAUCCAUAUGAGCUAGCAGAGGAACCUGAUGGACCUAUAGAUCAUGGGCUCCAACGAUUCAAGAUUAACUAGCUAAACUCUUUUAAACCGAGUUAAUCAACAUUCGUUAACUAACGGGUCAUUCCACUAAAGUCCCGUAGUUGCACUCCCCUCACUAUAGAUAUACUUGUAUCCAUUGGAUAAAACCAUAAUCAGUAAGUUAAUCCUUCACAGGUUGCUCGUAACCUUGGUUGGGUCAAAAUACCGUUUUACCCCCAAUAUUACAUCUUGCUCCUUAAGUCCCACUAAUCCACUAUUGAACAAUUGGUUUAAGGUUCAACCUAUAAACUUAAUCCCUCUCUGGCCAAUGAGAGGGUGGGGCCCCUUGUUCAAGACUUGGAUUCAGUGCUUAAGAGAACAACCUAUCUACUAACCCUAAAGCGGGUAGGAGUGAAUUCCAUCUUGUACCCUAUGUUCCCAGCUAUCCACCCGAUCUUACCCCUGAUAUGGGAGGCUUAUUAGGCCAACGCUGAUGAGCUGCCCUCACCUAUGUAGAUCUAAGGAUAAUCUAGUGUGAUCAGGAGUUCAUAGUUAACUCAGGAUUAAGACUAAGUUACCUAGGUCAUCAAUAAUUGAGAUAGUCAGUUUUAACAGUAAACGGUGUUAUAACGUAAAAAAGACUAAUUCAUGGUUCAGUCUUAUGUAAACAUUUUACAUAGGAUGCCCCCACUUUCAUGUCUCUACAUGAACGAUUAGGAUCACCUCGUUUGUACUACAAAGUGGGCCGCAUCCAUAGUUUCUCUAAAUAAGGCGCCCAACCUUUAUUCAUAUACUAUAGACUAUUUAGGCUAUAUACUCGAACUUGAUCCACGUUUAUGUUUACACAUAAAGUUCAAGUUUAUUCAAAAAUAGCCUCGGAACUUGAUUUAUUGGAUUUAAAAUUAUAAUAUUUAAUUUCUCAAUAACAACUUUAUUGAACAGAAUAUGAUUUACAAACUACGAGUUUUAGGACAAAAAAUUCCAACACGGAGACCUCGAAAGUUCACGUCUAGCUACUGGGUGGUUCGAUUCUGAGUGGUCUCGAAGUUUCUUGCCCACAGAAGACGAACGGUGAUGCCCCAGACUCGGUUUCUUGGUUCCGUCCAAAACGUCGAAAGAAAGGCACAAUGGCUAGAAAGGAACGACCAGACUUAGAACGGAUCGGAGGCCUCAAAAGUUACACGUCUGGCUACUGGGUGGUCUCGAAGUUUCUUGCCCACAAAAGCCGAACGGUUAUGCCCCAGACUCGAUUUCUUGGUUCCGUCCCAAAACGCCGAAAGAAAGGCACAAUGGCCUAGAAAGGAACGACCGGACUUAGAACGAGGUCGGAGGCCUCGAAAGUUCAAGUCUAGCUACUGGGUGGUCUCGAAGUUUCUUGCCCACAAAAGCCGAACGGUAUGCCCCAGAAUCGGUUUCUUGGUUCCAUCCCAAAAUGCCGAAACAAAGGCACAAUGGCCUAAAAAGGAACGACCUGACUUAAAACGGGGUCGGAGGCCUCGAAAGUUCACGUCUGGCUACUAGGUGGUCCGAUUCUGAGUGGCCUCGAAGUUUCUUUCCCACAAAAGCCGAACGAUGAUGCCCCAGACUCGGUAUCUUGUUUCCGUCCCAAAACGCCGAAAGAAAGGCACAAUGGCCUAGAAAGGAACGACCGGACUUAGAACGGGGUCGGAGGCCUCGAAAGUUCACGUCUGGUGACUGGGUGGUCCGAUUCUCAGUGGUCUCGAAGUUUCUUGCCCCCAAAAGCCGAACGGUGAUGCCCCAGACUCGGUUUCUUGGUUCCGUCCCAAAACGCCGAAAGAAAGGCAGAAUGGCCUAGAAAGCAACGACCGGACUUAGAACGGGAUCGGAGGCCUCGAAAGUUCACGUCUGGCUACUGGGUGGUUCGAUUCUGAGUGGCCUCGAAGUUUCUUGCCCACAAAAGCCGAACGGUGAUGCCCCAGACUCUGUUUCUUGGUUCCGUCCCAAAACGUCGAAAGAAAGGCACAAUGGCCUAGAACGGAACGACCGGACUUAGAACGGGGUCGGAGGCCUUGAAAGUUCACGUCUGGCUACUGGGUGGGCCAAUUCUGAGUGGUCUCGAAGUUUCUUGGCCAAAAAAGCCGAACGGUGAUGCCCCAGACUUGGUUUCUUGGUUCCGUCCCAAAACGACGAAAAAAAGGCACAAUGGCCUAGAAAGGAACGACCGGACUUAGAACGGAAUCGUUGGCCUCGAAAGUUCACGUUCGACUACUAGGUGGUCCGAUUCAGAGUGGCCUCGAAGUUUCUUGCCCACAAAAGCCGAACGGUGAUGCACAGACUCGGUUUCUUGGUUCCGUCCCAAAACGCCGAAAGAAAGGCACAAUGGCCUAGAAAGGAACGACAGUACUUAGAACGGGGUCGGAGGCCUCGAAAGUUCACGUCUUGCUACUGGAUUGUCCGAUUCUGAGUGGCCUCGAAGUUUCUUGCCCACAAAAGCCAAACGGGUGAUGCCCCAGACUCGGUUUCUUGGUUCCGUCCCAAAACGUCGAAAGAAAGGCACAAUGGCCUAGAAAGGAACGACCGAACUUAGAACGAGGUCGGAGGCCUCGAAAGUACACGUCUGCCUACUGAGUGGUCCGAUUCUGAGUGGUCUCGAAGUUUCUUGCCCACAAAAGCUGAACGGUGAUGCCCCUGACUCGGUUUCUUGGUUCCGUCCCAAAACGCCGAAAGAAAGGCACAAUGGCCCAGAAAGGAACGAUCGAACUUAGAACGGAAUCGUUGGCCUCGAAAGUUCACGUUCGGCUACUGGGUGGUCCGAGUCUGAGUGGCCUCGAAGUUUCUUGCCCACAAAAACCGAACGGUGAUGCCCCAGACUCGGUUUCUUGGUUCCGUCCCAAAACGACGAAAGAAAGGCACGAUGGCCUAGAAAGGAACGACCGAACUUAGAACGAGGUCGGAGGCCUCGAAAGUACACGUCUACCUAAUGAGUGGUCCGAUUCUGAGUGGUCUAGAAGUUUCUUGCCCACAAAAGCUGAACGGUGAUGCCCCUGACUCGGUUUCUUGGUUCCGUCCUAAAACGCCGAAAGAAAGGCACAAUGGCCUAGAAAGGAAUGACCGGACUUAGAACGGAAUCGUUGGCCUCGAAAGUUCACGUUCGGCUACUGGGUGGUCCGAUUCUAAGUGGCCUCGAAGUUUCUUGCCCACAAAAGCCGAACGGUUAUGCCCCUGAAUCGGUUUCUUGGUUCCAUCCCAUAACGCCGAAAGAAAGGCACAAUGGCCUAGAAAGGAACGACCGGACUUAGAACGGGGUCGAAGGCCUCGAAAGUUCACGUCUAGCUACUAGGUGGUCUCGAAGUUUCUUGCCCACAAAAGCCGAACGGUGAUGCCCCAGACUCGGUUUAUUGGUUCCGUACCAAAACGCCGAAAGAAAGGCACAAUGGCCUAGAAAGGAACGACCAAACUUAAAACGGGGUCGAAGGCCUCGAAAGUUCACGUCUAGCUACUGGGUGGUCCAAUUCUGAGUGGUCUCGAAGUUUCUUGCCAACAAAAGCCGAACGGUGAUGCCCAAGACUCGGUUUCUUGGUUCCGUCCCAAAACGCCGAAAAAAAGGCACAAUGGCCUAGAAAGGAACGACCGUACUUAGAACGUGGUCGGAGGCCUCGAAAGUUCACGUCUUGCUACUUGGUGGUCUCGAAGUUUCUUGCCCACAAAAGCCGAACGGUUAUGCCCCAGACUCGGUUUCUUGGUUCCGUCUCAAAACGCCGAAAGAAAGGCACAAUGGCCUAGAAAGGAACGACAGGACUUAGAACGGGGUCGGUGGCCUCGAAAGUUCACGUAUUGCUACUUGGUGGUCUCGAAGUUUCUUGCCCACAAAAGCCGAACGGUUAUGCCCCAGAAUCGGUUUCUUGGUUCCAUCCCAUAACGCCGAAAGAAAGGCACAAUUGCCUAGAAAGGAACGACCGAACUUAGAACAGGGUCGAAGGCCUCGAAAGUUCACGUCUAGCUACUAGGUGGUCUCGAAGUUUCUUGCCCACAAAAGCCGAACGGUGAUGCCCCAGACUCGGUUUCUUGGUUCCGUCCCAAAACGCCGAAAGAAAGGCACAAUGGCCUAGGAAGGAACGAUCAGACUUAGAACGGGGUCGGAGGCCUCGAAAGUUCACGUCUAGCUACUGGGUGGUCUGACUCUGAGUGGUCUUGAAUUUUCUUGCCUACAAAAGCCGAACGGUGAUGCCCGAGACUCGGUUUCUUGGUUCCGUCCCAAAACGCCGAAAGAAAGGCACAAUGGCCUAGAAAGGAACGACCGGACAUAGAACGGGGUAGGAGGCCUCGAAAGUUCACGUUUGGCUAGUGGGUUGUCUGAUUCUGAGUGGUCUCGAUGUUUCUUGCCCACAAAAGCCAAACGGUGAUGCCCAAACUCGGUUUCUUGGUUCCGUCCCAAAACGACAAAAGAAAGGCACAAUGGCCUAGAAAGGAACGACCGGACUUAGAACGGGGUCGGAGGCCUCAAAAGUUCACGUCUGGCUACUGGGUCGUCUGAUUCUGAGUGAUCUCGAAGUUUCUUGCCCACAAAAGCCGAACGGUGAUGCCCCAGACUCGGUUUCUUGGUUCCGUCCCAAAACGGCAAAAGAAAGGCACAAUGGCCUAGAAACAAACGACCAGACUUAGAACGGGGUCGAAGGCCUCGAAAGUUCACGUCUAGCUACUGGGUGGUCUCGAAGUUUCUUGCCCACAAAAGUCGAACGGUGAUGCCCAAGACUCGGUUUCUUGGUUCCGUCCAAAAACGCCGAAAGAAAGGCAUAAUGAUCUAGAAAGGAACGACCAGACUUAGAACGAUGCCGGAGGCCUCGAAAUUCACGUCUAGCUAAUAGGUGGUCUCGAAGUUUCUUGCCCACAAAAGCCGAACGGUGAUGCCCCAGACUCAGUUUCUUGGUUCCGUCCCAAAACGGCAAAAGAAAGGCACAAUGGCCUAGAAACAAACGACCAGACUUAGAACGGGGUCGAAGUCGAAAGUUCACGUCUAGCUACUGGUGGUCUCGAAGUUUCUUGCCCACAAAAGUCGAACGGUGAUGCCCCAGACUCGUUUCUUGUUCCGUCCAAAAAAACGCCGAAAGAAAGAAAGGCAUAAUGAUCUAGAAAGGAACGACCAGACUUAGAACGGGGCCGGAGGCCUCGAAAGUUCACGUCUAGCUAAUAGGUGGUCUCGAAGUUUCUUGCCCACAAAAGCCGAACGGUGAUGCGCCAGACUCGGUUUCUUGGUUCCGUCCAAAAACGGCAAAAGAAAGGCACAAUGGCCUAGAAACAAACGACCAGACUUAGAACGGGGUCGAAGGCCUCGAAAGUUCACGUCUAGCUACUGGGUGGUCCGAUUCUGAGUGGUCUCGAAGUUUCUUGCCCACAAAUGCCGAACGGUGAAGCCCCAGGCUCGGUUUCUUGGUUCCGUCCCAAAACGCCGAAAGAAAGGCACAAUGGCCUAGAAAGGAACGACCGGAUUUGGAACGGGGUCGGAGGCCUCGAAAGUUCACGUCUAGCUAUUAGGUGGUCCGAUUCUGAGUGGUCUCGAAGUUUCUUACCCACAAAACCCGAACGAUGAUGCCCCAAACUCGGUUUCUUGGUUCUGUCCCAAAACGCCAAAACAAAGUCACAAUGGCCUAGAAAGGAACAACCGGACUUAGAACGGGGUCGGAGGAUUCGAAAGUUCACGUCUGGCUACUGGGUGGUCCGAUUCUGAGUGGUCUCAAAGUUUCUUGCCCACAAAAGCCGAACGGUGAUGCCCCAGACUCGGUUUCUUGGUUCCGUCCCAAAACGCCGAAACAAAGGCACAAUUGCCUAGAAAGGAACGACCGGACUUGGAACUGGGUCGGAGGCCUCGAAAGUUCACGUCCACCUACUGGGUGGUCCGAUUCUGAGUGGUCUCGAAGUUUCUUGCCCACAAAAGCCGAACGGUGAUGCCCUAGACUCGGUUUCUUGGUUCCGUUCCAAAACGCCAAAAGAAAGGCACAAUGGCCUAGAAAGGAACGACCGAACUUGGAACGGGGUCGGAGGCCUCGAAUGUUCACGUCUUGCUACUGGGUAGUCCGAUUCUUAGUGGUCUCGAAAUUUCUUCCCAAAAAAGCCGAACGGUGAUGUCCCAGACUCGGUUUCCUGGUUUCGUCCCAAAACGCCGAAAGAAAUGCACAAUGACCUAGAAAGGAACGACCGGACUUGGAACGGGGUCGGAGGCCUCGAAAGUUCACGUCUGGCUACUAGGUGGUCCAAUUUUGAGUGGUUUCAAAGUUUCUUUCCCACAAAAGCCGAACGGUGAUGCCCAGACUCGGUUUCUUGGUUCCGUCCCGAAAUGCCGAAAGAAAGGCACAAUGGCCUAGAAAGGAACGACCGGACAUGGAACGGGGUCGGAGGCCUCGAAAGUUCACGUCUGGCUACUGGGUGGUCCGAUUCUGAGUGGUCUCGAAGUUUCUUGCCCACAAAAGCCGAACGGUGAUGCCCAGACUCGGUUUCCUGGUUGUGUCCCAAAACGCCGAAAGAAAGGCACAAUGGCCUAGAAAGGAACGACCGGACUUAGAACGGGGUCGGAGGCCUCGAAAGUUCACGUCUGGCUACUCGGUGGUCCGAUUCUUAGUGGUCUCAAAAUUUCUUCCCACAAAAGCCGAACGCUGAUUUCCCAGACUCAGUUUCCUGGUUCCGUCCCAAAACGCCAAAAGAAAGGCACAAUGGCCUAGAAAGGAACGACCGGACUUAGAACGGGGUCGGAGGCCUCGAAAGUUCACGUCUUGCUACGUGGUGGUCCGAUUCUUAGUGGUCUCGAAAUUUCUUCCCAAAAAAGCCGAACGGUGAUGUCCCAGACUCGGUUUCCUGGUUUCGUCCCAAAACGCCGAAAGAAAGGGACAAUGGCCUAGAAAGGAAAGACCGGACUUAGAACGGGGUCGGAGGCCUCGAAAGUUCACGUCUUGCUACUUGGUGGUCCGAUUCUUAGUGGUCUCGAAAUUUCUUCCCACAAAAGCCGAACGGUGAUGUCCCAGACUCGGUUUCCUGGUUUCGUCCCAAAACGCCGAAAGAAAGGCACAAUGGCCUAGAAAGGAACGACCGGACUUGGAACGGGGUCGGAGGCCUCGAAAGUUCACGUCUAGCUACUGGGUGGUCCGAUUCUGAGUGGUCUCGAAGUUUCUUGGGCACAAAAGCCGAACGGUGAUGCCUUAGACUCGGUUUCCUCGUUCCGUCCCAAAACGCCGAAACAAAGGCACAAUGGCCUAAAAAGAAACGACCGGACUUAGAACGGGGUCAGAGGCCUCGAAAGUUCACGUCUGGCUACUGGGUGGUCCUAUUCUGAGUGGUCUCGAAGUUUCUUGCCCACAAAAGCCGAACUGUGAUGCCCCAGACUCGGUUUCUUGGUUGCCUCCCAAAACGCCGAAAGAAAGGCACAUUGGCCUAGAAAGGAACGACCGGACUUAGAAUGGGGUCAGAGGCCUCGAAAGUUCACGUCUGGCUAAUGGGUGGUCCUAUUCUUAGUGGUCUCGAAGUUUCUUGCCCACAAAAGCCGAACGGUGAUGCCCCAGACUCGAUUUCUUGGUUCUGUCCCAAAACGUCGAAAGAAAGGCACAAUGGCCUAGAAAGGAACGACCGGACUUAGAACGGGGUCGGAGGCCUCGAAAGUUCAUGUCUAGCUACUGGGUGGUCCGAUUCUGAGUGGUCUUGAAGUUUCUUGCCCACAAAAGCCGAACGGUGAUGCUCCAGACUGGGUUUCUUUGUUCCGUCCCAAAACACCAAAAGAAAGUCACAGUGGCUUGGAAAGGAACGACCGGACUUAGAACGGGGUCGGCGACCUCGAAAGUUCACGUCUAGCUACUGGGUGGUCUGAUUCUGAGUGGUCUCGAAGUUUCUUACCCACAAAAGCCGAACGGUGAUGCUCUAGACUCGAUUUCUUGGUUGGGUCCCAAAACGCAUAAAGAAAUGCACAGUGGCCUAGAAAGGAACGACCGGACUUAGAACGGGGUCGACAGCCUCGAAAGUUCACGUCUAGCUACUGGGUGGUCCGAUUCUGAGUGGUCCUGAAGUUUCUUGCCCACAAAAGUCGAACAGUGAUGCCCCAGACUCGGUUUCUUGGUUCCGUCCGAAAACGCCGAAAGAAAGGCACAGUGGCCUAGAAAGGAACGACCGGCUUAGAACGUGGUCAGCGGCCUCGAAAGUUCACGUCUAGCUACUGGGUGGUCUCGAAGUUUCUUGCCCAUAAAAACCAAACGGUGAUGCCCCAGACUCGGUUUCUUAGUUCGUCCAAAACGAAAGAAAGGCACAGUGGCCUGGAAAGGAACGACCGGACUUAGAACGGGGUCGGCGACCUCGAAAGUUCACGUCUAGCUACUGGGUGGUCCGAUUGUGAGUGGUCUUGAAGUUUCUUGCCCACAAAAGCCGAACGGUGAUGCCCAGACUGGGUUUCUUGGGUCCGUCCAAAACGCCGAAAGAAAGGCACAGUGGCCUAGAAAGGAACGACCGGACUUAGAACGGGGUCGGCAGCCUCGAAAGUUCACGUCUAGCUACUGGGUGGUCCGAUUCUGAGUGGUCUCAAAGUUUCUUGCCCACAAAAGCCGAACGGUGAUGCCCAGACUCGGUUUCUUGGUUGUCCCAAAACGCCGAAAGAAAGGCACAUGGCCUAGAAAGGAACGACCGGACUUAGAACGGGUCAGGCGACCUCGAAAGUUCACGUCUAGCUACUGGUGGUCCGAUUCUGAGUGGUCUCGAAGUUUCUUGCCCACAAAAGCCGAACGGUGAUGCCCAGACUCGGUUUCUUGGUUCCGUCCCAAAACGCCGAAAGAAAGGCACAGUGGCUAGAAAGGAACGACCGGACUUAGAACGGGGUCGGCGGCCUCGAAAGUUCACGUCUAGCUACUGGGUGGUCCGAUUCUGAGUGGUCUCGAAGUUUCUUGCCCACAAAAGCCGAACGGUGAUGCCCAGACUCGGUUUCUUGGUUCCGUCCCAAAACGCCGAAAGAAAGGCACAGUGCCUAGAAAGGAACGACCGGACUUAGAACGGGGUCAGGCCUCGAAAGUUCACGUCUAGCUACUGGUGGUCUCGAAAGUUUCUUGCCCACAAAAGCCGAACGGUGAUGCCCUAGACUCGGUUUCUUGGUUGCGUCCCAAAACGCCGAAAGAAAGGCACAGUGGCCUAGAAAGGAACGACCGGACUUAGAACGGGGUAGGCGACUCGAAAGUUCACGUCUAGCUACUGGGUGGUCCGAUUCUGAGUGGUCUCGAAGUUUCUUGCCCACAAAAGCCGAACGGUGAUGCCCAGACUCGGUUUCUUGGUUCCGUCCAAAACGCCGAAAGAAAGGCACAAUGGCCUGGAAAGGAACGACCGGACUUAGAACGGGGUCGGCGGCCUCGAAAGUUCACGUCUAGCUACUGGGUGGUCGAUUCUGAGUGGUCUCGAAGUUUCUUGCCCACAAAAGCCGAACGGUGAUGCCCAGACUCGGUUUCUUGGUUCCGUCCCAAAACGCCGAAAGAAAGGACAAUGGCCUAGAAAGGAACGACCGGACUUAGAACGGGGUCGGAGGCCUCGAAAGUUCACGUCUAGCUACUGGUGGUCGAUUCUGAGUGGUCUCGAAGUUUCUUGCCCACAAAAGCCGAACGGUGAUGCCCCAGACUCGGUUUCUUGGUUCCGUCCCAAAACUCCGAAAGAAAGGCACAAUGGCCUGAAAGGAACGACUCGACUUAGAACGGGUCGGCACCUCGAAAGUUCACGUCUAGCUACUGGGUGGUUCGAUUCUGAGUGGUCUCGAAGUUUCUUGCCCACAAAAGCCGAACGGUGAUGCCCCAGACUCGGUUUCUUGGUUCCGUCCCAAAACGCCGAAAGAAAGGCACAGUGCCUAGAAAGGAACGAUCGGACUUAGAACCGGGGUCAGGCCUCGAAAGUUCACGCUAGCUACUGGCGUGGUCUCGAAGUUUCUUGCCCACAAAAGCCGAACGGUGAUGCCCCAGACUCGGUUUCUUGGUUCCGACCCAAAACGCCGAAAGAAAGCCACGGUUGCCUGGAAAGGAACAACCGGACUGAGAACGGGGUCGGCGACCUCGAAAGUUCACGUCUAGCUACUGGGUGGUCCGAUUCUGAGUGGUCUCGAAGUUUCUUGCCCACAAAAGCCAAACGGGGAUGCUCCAGACUCGAUUUCUUGGUUGCGUCCCAAAACGCCGAAAGAAAGAAACAAUGGCCUAGAAAGGAACGACCAAACUUAGAACGGGGUCAGCGGCCUCGAAAGUUCACGUCUAGCUACUGGUUGGUCUCGAAGUUUCUUGCCCACAAAAGCCGAACGGUGAUGCCCCAGACUCGGUUUCUUAGUUGCGUCCCAAAAUGCCGAAAGAAAGGCACAGUGGCCUUGAAAGGAACGACCGGACUUAGAACGGGGUCGGGCGACCUCGAAAGUUCACGUCUAGCUACUGGGUGGUCCGACUCUGAGUGGUCUCGAAGUUUCUUGCCCACAAAAGCCGAACGGUGAUGCCCCCAGACUCGGUUUCUUGGUUCCGUCCCAAAACGCCGAAAGAAAGGCACAAUGGCCUGGAAAAGAACGACUCGACUUAGAACGGGGUCGGCGACCUCGAAAGUUCACGUCUAGCUACUGGGUGGUUCGAUUCUUAGUGGUCUCGAAGUUUCUUGCCCACAAAAGCCGAACGGUGAUGCCCCAGACUCGGUUUCUUGGUCUCGUCCCAAAACGCCGAAAGAAAGGCACAAUGGCCUGGAAAGGAACGACCGGACUUAGAACGGGGUCGGCGACCUCGAAAGUUCACGUCUAGCUACUGGGUGGUUCGAUUCUGAGUGGUCUCGAAAUUUCUUGCCCACAAAAGCCGAACGGUGAUGCCCCAGACUCGGUUUCUUGGUUCCGUCCCAAAACGCCGAAAGAAAGGCACAGUUGCCUAGAAAGGAACGACCGGACUUAGAACGGGGUCAGCGGCCUCGAAAGUUCACGGCUAGCUACUGGGUGGUCUCGAAGUUUCUUGCCCACAAAAGCCGAACGGUGAUGCCCCAGACUCGGUUUCUUGGUUCCGACCCAAAACGCCGAAAGAAAGCCAUAGUGGCCUGGAAAGGAACGACCGGACAGAGAACGGGGUCGGCGACCUUGAAAGUUCACGUCUAGCUACUGGGUGGUCCGAUUCUGAGUGGUCUCGAAGUUUCUUGCCCACAAAAGCCAAACGGGGAUGCUCCAGACUCGAUUUCUUGGUGGCGUCCCAAAACGCCGAAAGAAAGGCACAAUGGCCUAGAAAGCAACGACCAGACUUAGAACGGGGUCGGCGGCCUCGAAAGUUCACGUCUAGCUACUGUGUGGUCCGAUUCUGAGUGGUCUCGAAGUUUCUUGCCCACAAAAACCUAACGGUGAUGCCCCAGACUCGGUUUCUUGGUUCCGUCUCAAAACGCUGAAAGAAAGGCACAGUGGCCUGGAAAGGAACGACCAGACUUAGAACGGGGUCGGCGACCUCGAAAGUUCACGUCUAGCUACUGGGUGGUCCGAUUCUUAGUGGUCUCAAAGGUUCUUGCCCACAAAAGCUGAACGGUGAUGCCCCAGACUCGGUUUCUUGGUUGCGUCCCAAAUCGCCGAAAGAAAGACACAUUGGCCUAGAAAGGAACGACCGGGCUUAGAACGUGGUCAGCGGCCUUGAAAGUUCUCGUCUAGCUACUGGGUGGUCCGAUUCUGAGUGGUCUCGAAGUUUCUUGCCCACAAAAGCCGAACGGUGAUGCCCAAACUCGGUUUCUUGGUGCCGACCCAAAACACCGAAAGAAAGGCACAGUGGCCUAGAAAGGAACGACCGGACUUAGAACGGGGUCGGCGGCCUCGAAAGUUCACGUCUAGCUAUUGGGUGGUCCAAUUCUGAGUGGUCUCGAGGUUUCUUGCCCACAAAAGCCGAACGGUGAUGCCCCAGACUCGAUGUCUUGGUUCCGACCCAAAACGCCGAAAGAAAGGCACAGUGGCCUGGAAAGGAACGACCGGACUUAGAACGGGGUCGGAGGCCUCGAAAGUUCACAUCUAGCUACUUGGUGGUCUCGAAGUUUCUUGCCCACAAAAGCCAAACGGUGAUGCCCCAGACUCGAUUUCUUGGUUCCGUCCCAAAACGCCGAAAGAAAGGCACAAUGGCCCAGAAAGGAACGACCGGACUUAGAACAGGGUCGGAGGCCUCAAAAGUUCACGUCUAGCUACUGGGUGGUCCGAUUCUCAGUGGUCUCAAAGUUUCUUGCCCACAAAAGCCAAACGGUGAUGCCCUAGACUCGGUUUCUUGGUUCAUUUCAAUAAAGUUGUUAUUGAGAAAUUAAAUAUUAUAAUCUUAAAUCCAAUAAAUCAAGUUCCAAGGCUAUUUUUGAAUAAACUUGAACUUUAUGUGUAAACAUAAACGUGGAUCAAGUUCGAUAUAUAGCCUAAAUAGUCUAUAGUAUAUGAAAUAAAGGUUGGGCGCCUUAUUUAGAGAAACUAUGGAUGCGACCCACUUUGUAGUACAAACGAAGUGAUCCUAAUCGUUCAUGUAGAGACAUGAAAGUGGGGGCAUCCUAUGUAAAAUAUUUAGAUAAGACUGAACCAUGAAUUAGUCUUUUUUACGUUAUAACACCGUUUACAGUUUAAAACUGACUAUCUCAAUUAUUGAUGACCUAGGUAACUUAGUCUUAAUCCUGAGUUAACUAUGAACUCCUGUUCACACGAGAUUAUCCUUAGAUCUGCAUAGGUGAGGGCAGCUCAUCAGCGUUGGCCCAAUAAGCUUCCCAUUUCAGGGGUAACAUCAGGUGGAUAGCUGGGAACAUAGGGUACAAGAUGGAAUUCACUCCUACCCGCUUUUGGGUUAGUAGAUAGGUUGUUCUCUUAAGCACUGAAUCCAAGUCUUGAACAAGGGGCCCCACCCUCUCAUUGGCCCGAGAGGGAUUAAGUUUAUAGGUGAACCUUAAACCAAUUGUUCAAUAGUGGAUUAGUGGGACUUAAGGAGCAAGAUGUAAUCUUGGGGUAAAACGGUAUUUUGACCCAGCCAAGGUUACGAGCAACCUGUGAAGGAUUAACUUACUUAUUCUGGUUUUAUCAAAUGGACACAAAUAUAUCUAUAGUGAGGGGAGUGCAACUACGGGACUUUAGUGGAAUGACCCGUUAGUUAACGAAUGUUGAUUAACUCGGUUUAAAAGAGUUUAGCUAGUUAAUCUUGAAUCGUUGGAGCCCAUGAUCUAUAGGUCCAUUAGGUUCCUCUACUUGCACAUAUGGAUUAAACUUAGAACAGUGUGAUGAAAUAAAUUGGGAGAAGAAAGGGAAACCGACAAAUAUAGUGAUAUAGUCGUCGGUCUUCUAAUUAGAAAUAGAGCUUUAUGUUUUACAUACUAUAAGUAUGAAUGCGGAUUCAUACUAAGAAGCUCAGAAUUGAUGGAAUUGGUCAAAAACUAGUAAAAAGUCAAAAUGUUGACUUUUGACUUUGAAAAGUCAAACUUUGACCGGCCUUAUAUUCAAAUGUGUUUUGAAUAUUGGAAAAAUGAAUGCGGAUUCAUGCUCGGGAGGUUGGAAUUAGUCAAGACGGACAAAAUGGUAAAAAGUCAAAAUAUUGACUUUUGACUAAGAAAAGUAAAGUUUGACUUUUGACUAGAAAUAUCUAAUGACCAUUUUACCCUUGGACUAAGUUAGUGGGAAAAUCCAACAUUUUGUUGGAUAAUCCCACUAACUCUUAGUGGGAUAUGUGGCUAUAUGAGAUAUAGACACCUAGCCCACUAAGUUCCACUAAUUGUUAGUGGAACGGUAGGUGUUGAGAUUUGGCAAAUGAAUUGCAUGCAUUUUUGCAUGUAAUUAGGUUAUAAAUAGAGGUGUUUUCAAAUGUUGAAAAGACUUUUGCCUCUUUUAUCAUUUUCAUCAUCUCAACAAAAGAAAAAAAAACUUCCAAUCCCAUUUUAUCUCCAUUUCUUUCUACACCAAAAUUGGGUCCCACAACCCGGUUCUUUGUCUAGAGGAUAGCAGUUGAGUACUAGUGGUGGUCUCGGUUAGAAUUGGUAAGAAGAUAUCAAACCUUUUGAAAGCUUCAAAGGUAAUAUUUCUUAAAACCCUAAUUUGAUUAGUUUAUGGUUACAUGUUAAUUGUGGCAAUUAGGGUAGAAAUUCGAUUCUUUUUCCGCUGUGCAUGACUUAGUUCUUUCAUGUGGUAUCAGAGCAUGCUUCAUUUUUACCCAAUUGCAUGUGGUGGGUUCAUAUUCAUAUUUAUUAGAUAAAUUUUGGUUUGAACUAAAAUGGAUAUAUUAUGAUUUUGGCUCUAGAAAGUGUUUUUUGUUCUAAUUAUUGU